CGGCCGCCCAGACCGCCGUCCACGUUCGGGGGUGGCUCUGAAAUCUACCCAGGCUAGUUAAUUUAACCAGGAACCUCAGUGGGGAGAAGUCAAGGUCUCGGCUGCCAAAAGCAUUAGGAGAGAAGCAUCUCCACCUUCAAGGAGCCAUUUUUGAAGGAAACAAAAGAUGAUUGUAUCAAUACUGUGUAGAUAUCAGCUUUAGACUGGAAAAAAGAAAUCACUUGGCGAUUUCACAUAUUCAGGCCUCCGCCCUCAACCAGAGAAACAGCAUGAGCAGGAAGAGCCCUUGUACGACUGGGAAUUUCAGAGGAAAGCCAAGGGGCCAUCUUGGUUGUUGGGUCCUCGUGCUGUUCAUGUGUAAAAAAUGUACUGGAAUUUCAUUAUUGUGGUAGGAUCAAGACUGCCACUUUCUGUGCGUUUCUUAGUUUCCUUAU